AGUGAACGCUGGCGGUAGGCCUAACACAUGCAAGUCGAACGGCAGCACAGUAAGAGCUUGCUCUUACGGGUGGCGAAUGGCGGACGGGCGAGGAAUACAUCGGAAUCUACUUUUUCGUGGGGGAUCACGUAGGGAAACUUACUCUAAUACCGCAUACGACCUACGGGUGAAAGCAUGGGAUCGUCGGACCUUGCGCGAUUGGAUGCGCCGAUGUCGGAUUAGCUAGUUGGCGGGGUAAAGGCCCACCAAGCGACGAUCCGUAGCUGGUCUGAGAGGAUGAUAGGCCACACUGGAACGGAGACAGGGUCCAGACUCCUACGAGAGGGAGCAGUCGGGAAUAUUGGACAAUGGGCGCAAGCCUGAUCCAGCGAUACCGCGUGGGUGAAGAAGGCCUUCGGGUUGUAAAGACCUUUUGUUGGGAAAGAAAAGCAGCAGGUUAAUACCCCGCUGUUCUGACGGUACCCAAAGAAUAAGCACCGGCUAACUACGUG
rnacentral:rRNA from 1 species